rnacentral:RNase_P_RNA from 1 species
AAGAUCGCUAAGGCAAUCGCAUACUGUUGAUUUUUUACUGUAUGAGGAAAGUCCGGACACUAAAUAAGAUACGUGCCAUCUGAAGAAGAUGGACACUUUAAAGUGAUGGAAAGUGCCACAGAAAAUAACCGCCUGUAAAAACGGUAAGGGUGAAAAAGUAUGGUAAGAACAUACAGUUGGCUUAGGUAACUCAGCCAAUGGGUAAACCCCACGUGGUGCAAGGCAAAAUAGUGCGGAGGGUGCUUAUUCCUGUCGAUGUACGGGUAUGCCGCAAAGAUAGAUGAUUGCCACCUUGAAAAAGGGACAGAAUCCGGCUUAUGAAGCGAUCUUUAUG